rnacentral:rRNA from 1 species
UGUGUGUCGUAGUUAACGCGUUAAGCAGGGCGCCUGGGAAGUGCGGCCGCAAGGCUAAAACCCAAAGGAAUUGACGGGGACCCGCACAAGCAGUGGAGCGCCUGGUUUAAUUCGAUGGUCAGCGAAGAACCUCACCUAGGCUUGAACUGUAGCUGCACGCUCCCAGAAACGGGAGAAUCCUUCGAGGGUGCUACAGAGGUGCUGCAUGGCUGUCGUCAGCUCGUGUCGUGAGAUGUAGGGUUAAGUCCCACAACGAGCGCAACCCCUAUUCAGUGUUAUAAUUACUCUGAAGACUGCCCUGUCCAAACGGGGAGGAAGGAGGGGACGACGUCCAGUCAUCAUGUCCCUUAUGUCUAGGGCUACACAGACGCUACAAUGGCCGGUACAAUGGGUUGCCAAACCGCGAGGUGGAGCCAAUCCCAUCAAAGCCGGUCCCAGUUCGGAUUGCAGUCUGCAACUCGACUGCAUGAAGUUGGAAUUGCUAGUAAUCGCGAAUCAGCACGUCGCGGUGAAUACGUUCUCGGGUCUUGUACACACCGCCCGUCAGGGCACGGGAGUCGCUCUUGCUCGAAGUUCC